rnacentral:rRNA from 1 species
UACGUAGGGGGCAAGCGUUGUCCGGAUUUAUUGGGCGUAAAGAGCGUGUAGGCGGUUAUACAGGUCCGCUGUGAAAACUCGAGGCUCAACCUCGAGACGCCGAUGGAAACCAUCUAACUAGAGUCCGGAAGAGGAGAGUGGAAUUCCUGGUGUAGCGGUGAAAUGCGCAGAUAUCAGGAAGAACACCCGUGGCUAAGGCGGCUCUCUAGUACGGUACUGACGCUGAGGCACGAAAGCGUGGGGAGCAAACAGG